rnacentral:lncRNA from 1 species
CUUCAUGAACUUCUUCACCACCGCAGCGAUCACUGGAAACCUGAGAGAAUCUCCAAUCCGGAGGAGACGCCGUGAGGACCGACAUAAUCGUCGUCCAUGGUGGGUUUGGAUCUGUCUUCUGACGGGGAAGACAGACAUAGACGCCGUGAGGACCGAGACUGUGGUCGUCCGUGGUGGUUUCGAUCGGUCUUCCGACGGAGCAGACGGCAGAAGCCGGGGAACACGCCGUGAGGAGAGUCGUCGUCGCGAUCGCCUUUUGG